GAGGGCCUAACUGUCUCCUGUAGUCAAUCAAUGAAAUUGAUCUCACAGUACAAACGCUGUGAUACAACUAUAAGACGAGAAGACCCUGUGGAGCUUUAAACCUAUCACAUUAACUAAUUAACCUUAACUAUUAUUAGCAUAACGUGAGUUUUAAGUUGGGGCGACUACGGAGUAAAAAUAAACCUCCACGUGAUACGAUUUAAUCUCGUUACAUGAGGCUAACAAGCCUAGUCAAAACACAUGACCCAGUAAAACUGAUUAUCGAACCAAGUUACCCCAGGGAUAACAGCGCCAUCCCCUUAAAGAGUCCACAUCG
rnacentral:rRNA from 1 species